UAUUUAUGGCCUAAUAAAUUAAUUGGCAUGUUUCUAGCAGUGCUGAAAAUAACAUUAUUAAUUUGCUGUACCCAGUUUAAGAAUUUUGAAGAUCUGUUCUUUUCCUAAAACACCGCACAAUUUCCUUUGUUAAUGUCAACUUGUUUGAGGGAGCCACCUAUCAGCACCAUGUCAAGCAGCAGCUGUGUGGCUUAGCCUGAAAUCUUAAUUAGACAUGGCUAAGAUCUUGAGGGCCAGGUUAAAUAAUGUUGACUCGUUUGCAGAUUCUUGUAUGGAAAGAAGAAAGAUAGGAUUGACCAUGUGCUUUGAUGGUUGUAUGGACGUCGAUGGCCGUCGCCGGUCAAAGGAGUAUGAUGGCAGACGUUGUGGGGAUGCCGCACUCAGCCUACCACGAGCUCCGGAUCAAGACGAUGGCGGCCGACGAGCAGAGUUUGCUCGUUGAGGAGGUGGCGGCGAGCGUUGGCAAGGGUUCGUUCGGAAGAGCAGGUGGCGUACAAGAUCGUGUGGAGAUCCAACGACCAGAAGUUCGGCUCCGUAGAGGACGCCGUUACAGAACUAGAAGAAUUCCAAGAAAGAUCAUUGCUUCAAGACUGGUAGCGGCCACAACAUAUUUGACAUCAAAACUAGAUCUGGGUCCUAGAUAUCCGGUCUUGCUCGUUAGCAAAGUGUACUCUGGGAUUCAUAUCACAAGAGAGAGGGUCUUGGACUUGGAUUGAGAUGAUUAUAUGGAGAAGGCACAUCGAAAGAGGCACAUGUUUUAUUUUUCUCUCUUCUGCCUAAUUGCACGGAUAUGAUAAUUUGUAUGCAUUAUUUGUUGUAUGAUUCAGAUAUAUUAACAUGUGCAAAUGAUGAAUCAUAUUGGAUUGAGAGUACGAAGUGUUGACUGAUUUUAUGAAGGAAGUUGAUUAUAUUAUAUCAUUCUCCUGAUUUUUACUGGAUAUCUGCUUAGAUGGGAGAAUUAUUUACCCAUAUUUUAUUUGUUUCGAUUGUUCGUUGCCCCUUGGCGUGUUCAAUAGAAACCAUCACCUAUCGCUGGCUCGCUGCUAUAUAUUGGCUUCAUUAAGAGAGAGUAAUGAUGCAAUAAAUAUCUGAAGGUGCAGAUGCAGAUUUUGGAGAAAAACCAAGAAGGCUAACAUCGACCAUCGACCGAGAAAAAAAAUACAUAUUCAGGGUAAAAAAAAUCUCCUUCGUUACAGGCUUUCAUUCAUGAUGGGCCAACCUUGAAGUCUUAACGAUUACCCUUUCCAACAUGCAACACUCGCGAUGUGGUGCUUAAUCCUGCUAAUUUUUUUUGUCUAUUAAUUUUUAUGUUUUUUUCACCUCAGAUAUUGUAUUAAUUUCGGUUGGGUUCUAACUAGAGAUGCACAUAAAUAACUUGGUUCUCGGUAUCAUAAAACAAACAAGCCACAAACCUAGAAGGUUAUUGAUUAUAUGCUAUAACCCAUUUAAUUAAGCUGGUUUUCUUGACACCAUUUUCUAUUGCAGGCUGUUGAAUAUAUACAGUUUUUGCAAGAGAACGAACAGAAGUGUGGUUGGGUGAGGUCUGGAUACAACAUCUCACUUUUUGUUUGUUUCAACAAUGCAUUUUUCUUUUACUUCCUGCUUUGAUCAAAUUGGAACUAGCCUUGUAGAUCAGAAUAAUUGAAAAUUGAUGUGUAAUAUUAGGUCUGUGAUUGCAGUGUGUAAAAUUGGCCUAUUUAUUCGAUUCUUGUCAUAUAAAAUGUGUAUUUUUUA